rnacentral:lncRNA from 1 species
CCUGCGGCACGGCUCACAGAGGUCCGCAGGAGUAACUGCUGCAGCUGCCCCCCUCUUUAGAGUCAAAGUGUGAAACAGACACGGGGAAGGGCUGCCCGCCCCCAGCAGGGAUGAGGAUGAGGCCCCAGGACCAUUGCUGCCUCUGCAGCCAGCAACUGGUGGUUGAAGCACUGCGCUGCCUGGAUGCUCCUUUCCCAGCACACGGCAUGAGCACACCCGCAGUGAAAACAAUGCAGGCCACAUCUGAUCUCCAACACAACGCGUUUUUGUGGGUCCCGAGAGGAGGUGCUAUCCACUGAUUAAUUUAAAGUAUUCUGUUUCUCCCUGAGCUACUCUUAAUCCGCUCUCUCAUUUCUGCUGCCAAAUGUUAACAGACCAAAAGGCACACGGGACAGGAGACACUUUACCAGUGCAGUUAAAAAAAAAAAACACCUAUGGCUAAAAUAAAUAGUUAAG